GCCUGGGUGGCUCAGUCGGUUGAGCGUCCGACUUCGGCUCAGGUCAUGAUCUCGCGGUUCGCGGGUUCGAGCCCCGCCUCGGGCU
rfam:Felis catus isolate Cinnamon breed Abyssinian chromosome A2, whole genome shotgun sequence.